AAGUAAAAGUUACAUCACACACCAUUUUAGAGGACGCACAGUUCGAUACUCCUGUUCCAAUUGUUUGCAAAGAUUGGGAGGUUGAAAAAAUGAACACAGGGCCUGCAGUUGUUCACAUCACUACAACAGAUGAUUUAUGUGAUCAGGUUUUCUGAGUGAGAUCUGUCUGAGCAGUCCUGAGUCUAAAUCAGACAUUAGACUGUAUGGAGCCUGAGGGAGACCCUGAAGUCAUGAGCAGGAGAGCCAAGCGGGAGAGAAUGGAGUCUCCUGCUCCCAGCUGUCUCUCUAUGAAUAGUGCCAGUGCCAGUCUGCUGACUGAGGAUCUGUUCAGAUGCUCUGUGUGUUCAGAGGUGCUGAGGGACCCGGUCUCCAUUCCCUGUGGACACAGUUACUGCAUGCAGUGCAUCAGCACAUACUGGGUCCAGCCCGGCCCUGCAGGAGACUAUGUGUGUCUCCAGUGCAGUAAGAGAUCCAGAGUCCGGCCUGUACUCUGCACUAACACAGCCUUGGCCAGGUUGCUCCAGGGGCUCCAGCAGGCAGGCUUCAGUCCUGCCCUCCCUGCUCUGGGCUACGCUGGGCCUGGGGACGUGGCCUGUGAUAUCUGCUCUGGACAGAAGCUCAGAGCGGUGAAGUCCUGUCUGACCUGCACUGUCUCCUACUGUGAGAGCCACGUCAGGCAGCACUACACUGUCCCAGCACUGCAGAGACACACCCUGGUUGAGAUCACUGGGGACGGGGGACACAAAGGCCACCAAGGCAAUGCUGGACAGACAGAGAGCAUCAAAGAGGAGGAGACUAUGGGGACUGAGGAGGAGGAGAAGGAGAGGGAGAGUGUCUCUAAAAAGGUGAUGGAAGUUAAAGAGGAGGAAGAAGAUUCUGAUGAGGGACUUUCUGAUCUGAAGAAGAACCCUAAAACAAAAAAUCUGAUCUCUGAACUGAAGAACAUCUCUAAGUUAAACUCUGACUUGGAGCAGGAGAACUCUAAUCUUAAACAUGAUGUUCGUGAACUCAGUAAGGAGAAUGCUGCGUUAAAACAAGAGGCAACAUUUGAGAAAGAACUGAUGGACAUCAGAAGUGCUGACAUGAAUAAGAUCAUAGCUACUCUCACCUCAGACCCACAGCAACAGAGAGAGACUGAGUAUGUGAGAAGAAACCUGAAGAAUAUGACCAUGGACUAUGUGGAUGUGACUCUAGAUCCUGAUACAGCACAUCCCCAACUAAUCCUGUCUGAAGACAGGAAACAAGUUAUAUUUGGAGAUGUAUGGCAGGAUCUCCCUGACAACCCAGAGAGGUUUGAUAUCUCUGUCUGUGUCAUGGGAAAGGAGGGUUUCUCCUCAGGGAGAUUCUACUAUGAGGUGCAGGUGAAGGGGAAGACUGGCUGGUCUUUAGGAGUGGCCACGAAGUCCAUCAACAUGAAGGGGACGAUUUACCUGAAUCCUGAGGAUGGAUACUGGACUGUGAUGCUGAGGAAUGGACAGUACUGGGCUGGCGCUGUCCCCACUGUCCCCAUCUUCCUUAGAGAGGAGCUCCAAAAGGUGGGGGUGUUUGUGGAUUAUAAGGAGGGUAAGGUCUCCUUCUACAAUGUGGAGGCCAGGUCUCAUAUCUACUCUUUCACUGGCUACACCUUCACUGAGAAACUCUAUCCAUUCUUCAGCCCUGGUAAUAAUUACACUGGUAGAAACUCAUCCCCACUGGUCAUCACUCCUGUAGAUGUCACGACUACUGCCGAGGGUGGUUCCUCUCCCUGUUCAGGUGGCGCUCGGCGGUCGUCGUCACCGGCCUACUAGCUGCCAUCGAUCCCCUUUUCGUUUUUCUGUUAGUCAUGUCUUUAUUAGUUGCACCUGUGUUCAUUUAGGUAAUUAGUGGUGUUAUUUAAGCCCGCCUCUCCACCUGUUCUGUGUGCGGGCUUGUUAUGUGUUUUCACUGUGUUCGUGUUGUGAAUCGUGUUGUUGGACUUUGGGUUUGUGAUGAUGGAGAGGAUGGAUCGAUGGGAAGGAGUGGUCUCCUCCCUUCACCUCCGGCUCACCCGACGAGUCCACCUCCUUCACUCCCUUCCCCGUCUGGAUCUGGGGCACUGCGUCUUACGCCUCCGAGGGAGUAUGAUGGAGCAGCGGCAGGGUGCCAGGGAUUUCUAUUACAACUAGAGUUAUACCUGGCGACCGCGAGGCCGACUCCCUCGGGGGAGGAGAGUGUGAGCCUCCUCAUCUCCUGCCUGACGGGUCGAGCAUUGGAGUGGGCCAACGCUGUUUGGAAUGGACCAGACUCACUGAGGAAUAACUACUCUGAGUUCACCCGCCGUUUCAGGGCCGUAUUCGAUCACCCCCCCAGAAGGACGAGCGGUGGGUGAACGACUGUUUCACCUCAGACAGGAGAUGAGGAGCACGCAAGACUUUGCCCUAGAGUUCCGGACCUUGGCUGCUGGGGCUGGGUGGAACGACAGGGCCCUAAUGGACCACUACAGGUGUAGCCUCCAGGAGGACGUCCGCAGGGAGCUAGCGUGUCGGGAUACUACACUCUCCCUGGAUGAACUCAUCGACAUGUCUAUACGAAUGGAAAAUCUGCUGGCUGCCCGCGGGCGUUCAGAAAGGGUCCUGUCAGUUCCAUCUCCUAGCCUGCCUGUGCCCAUUCCUAUGGAGCUAGGGGGAACCGCGUCAAGGGGAACCGGAGGAGGGUGCCCCUCCUGCACCAAUUGUGGUCGAGGAGGACACAUGGCCGACCGGUGCUGGGGGGGUCCCUCUGGGAGUCGAGAAGGCAGGCAGAACACUCCUCGUUCAUCCCAGUGUGUGUUAGGCUACCAGCCGGUCCUGGCACCAUGGCAUCAGAGUCAGACCGAGGCUCCUGCGGUGGAGGAUUGGGUGCAGCGCUCCAAGGACACCUGGAGGGCUGUCGAAGAAUCCCUGAAGCAAGCCGGAAGACGGCAGAAGAGGAGCGCUGACCGCCACCGCAGUGAGGCUCCCAUAUUCGCACCAGGAGACAGGGUCUGGCUCUCGACCCGAAACCUGCCCCUCCGCUUGCCCUGCCGGAAGCUGGGUCCGCAGCGUGUUGGGCCCUUCAAAGUCCUGAGGAGAAUAAACGAGGUGUGUUAUAGAUUAAAACUCCCUUCUUAUUAUCAUAUUAACCCCUCGUUUCAUGUGUCUCUCCUCAGGCCGGUGGUAGCUGGUCCCCUUCAAGAAGGUGAGGUGCCGGAGGUCCCUCCGCCCCCUCUAGACAUCAAGGGGUCCCCGGCGUAUACAGUACGCACCAUUCUGGACUCAAGACGCCGGUUGGGGGGCCUACAGUACCUCGUGGACUGGGAGGGGUACGGUCCGGAGGAGAGGUGCUGGGUGCCGGUGGGGGACAUACUGGAUCCAUCACUAUUAGAGGAUUUCCAUCGUCUCCAUCCGGAUCGCCCCGCGCCUCGUCCUCCGGGUCGACCCCGAGGCCGGUGUCGGCGCGCUGCGGGAGCCGCGCGUCGGGGGGGCGGACUGUCACGACUACUGCCGAGGGUGGUUCCUCUCCCUGUUCGGGUGGCGCUCGGCGGUCGUCGUCACCGGCCUACUAGCUGCCAUCGAUCCCCUUUUCGUUUUUCUGUUAGUCAUGUCUUUAUUAGUUGCACCUGUGUUCAUUUAGGUAAUUAGUGGUGUUAUUUAAGCCCGCCUCUCCACCUGUUCUGUGUGCGGGCUUGUUACGUGUUUUCACUGUGUUUGUGUUGUGAAUCGUGUUGUUGGACUUUGGGUUUGUUACGCCCUGUUGUGUUUGGGCAUUUUUUCUCUUUUGUGGUACUUAUUAAAUAUAUAUUGUACCAAACAUUUUUCUGCCUCCUGCGCCUGACUCCACACCCACGACGUCCAAGCGUUACAGUAGAUGUCACUGACUGGUUUAUACUAAACAUUGAAAUUCUGUUAACUUAACUGAUAAUGUAAUAGCGACCAGAUAAUGUAAUAAUUAAUUGUAAUGUAAUACAGAUUACAUAAAUCAGCAGAUAAUGUAUUAACAUUUUACAUUCAUAAUGCAAUAACUUUUCCUGAUAAUGUAAUCAUUCAAUUGCAGUUAUUAAGAAAUCCUUAGGCGCUGACAAUUUAGACCCGUUCUUACUUAAGUGUGCUGCACCUAUCAUUGCUGGUUCAGUGACACAUAUUUUUAAUCUAACAUUAAGCACAGGAAUUAUCCCUAAGGUGUGGAAAGCAGCUUUUGUUCUGCCAUUACAUAAGGGAGGUGACAGUAGUGAUUUGGAUAACUAUCGACCCAUCUCUAGGCUCCCUUGUCUGGCAAAGAUCCUAGAAUCUAUAGUCAACAAACAGUUAGUCUUUUCUUUCUGCUAACAGUAUUCUUAGCACCAAUCAAUCUGGUUUUAGAUCUAAACACAGUACCACAUCGGCCACUAUGCUUGUUGUAAAUGAUAUUGCAAAUGCCAUAGAUGAUAGAAAGCACUGUGCUGCGUUGUUUGUAGAUUUGUCAAAAGCUUUUGACACUGUAGACCAUGCUAUCCUUUUGAGUAAGCUGUCAUCUAUAGGAGUGGGCACUGAUGCCUGCCGAUGGUUUUAUGACUAUCUUAAAGAUAGAACUCAGGCCGUCAUGGUCGACGGGGUCAAGUCUGACUCCUUACAGUUACUUAAAGGGGUCCCUCAGGGUUCAAUAAUUGACCCACUAUUGUUCUCACUUUAUAUAAACAACAUUGGUGAUGAUGUCAGAUAUUGUAAAUUCCAUUUAUAUGCAGAUGACACAGUGAUGUACUCUAUUGCUCCAACAGCGGACCAAGCUUUAAUGCAGUUGGAGUCUGAUUUUAGGAUACUACAGGGGUCUCUUUUACAGCUUAAACUUUUUUUAAACGCUAAGAAAACAAAUGUCAUGUUUUUUUCUAGGUCUAAACUCUCAGUUAGAAACACUUUUGUAAUCACUAGCUUUGUGAAUAAGGUUAUUAUUUCAUUUAACAUAGUAAAUCACAGUCUCAUAAUGUAAUCCAAUAAGACCUACCUGUCCAUCUAUCUCUGUGGACCAUAUCAUCUUAGUGGAUGAGAUCCAUAUUCUUCUUCCUGAUAUAACAUGACAUUGGGAAGAAUAGAAAACAGUCCAAUAAAUACAACAGGAAGCCCAGGUCUGUAUGCACUGUCAUAUGUUCAGUAAACCCCUGAAAUUAGAUUAUUACAUGACUUACUAUAAUAAUUAAAUACUGUCCUGCAUGAUUAUGUUUCUUACUAUAUUUUAGUUGAAUACUUUUUUGGGCUGUUGAACUAGAAGGAGAAUUUGCAAUAAAUAAUUUCAUUGUACUUCA